CCUACGGGCGGCUGCAGUGGGGAAUAUUGCACAAUGGGCGCAAGCCUGAUGCAGCCAUGCCGCGUGUGUGAAGAAGGCCUUCGGGUUGUAAAGCACUUUCAGCGGGGAGGAAGGCGUUAAGGUUAAUAACCUUGGCGAUUGACGUUACCCGCAGAAGAAGCACCGGCUAACCCCGUGCCAGCAGCCGCGGUAAUACGGAGGGUGCAAGCGUUAAUCGGAAUUACUGGGCGUAAAGCGCACGCAGGCGGUCUGUCAAGUCGGAUGUGAAAUCCCCGGGCUCAACCUGGGAACUGCAUUCGAAACUGGCAGGCUAGAGUCUUGUAGAGGGGGGUAGAAUUCCAGGUGUAGCGGUGAAAUGCGUAGAGAUCUGGAGGAAUACCGGUGGCGAAGGCGGCCCCCUGGACAAAGACUGACGCUCAGGUGCGAAAGCGUGGGGAGCAAACAGGAUUAGAUACCCGUGUAGUC
rnacentral:rRNA from 1 species